AGGAUGAACGCUGCUUUCCAAGAUGGCGACGGAGGGAGGAGGGAAGGAGAUGAACGAGAUUAAGACCCAAUUCACCACCCGGGAAGGUCUGUACAAGCUGCUGCCGCACUCGGAGUACAGCCGGCCCAACCGGGUGCCCUUCAACUCGCAGGGAUCCAACCCUGUCCGCGUCUCCUUCGUAAACCUCAACGACCAGUCUGGCAACGGCGACCGCCUCUGCUUCAAUGUGGGCCGGGAGCUCUACUUCUAUAUCUACAAGGGGGUCCGCAAGGCUGCUGACUUGAGUAAACCAAUAGAUAAAAGGAUAUACAAAGGAACACAGCCUACUUGUCAUGACUUCAACCAUCUGACAGCCACAGCAGAGAGUGUGUCUCUCCUAGUGGGCUUUUCUGCAGGCCAAGUCCAGCUUAUAGAUCCAAUCAAAAAAGAAACUAGCAAGCUAUUUAAUGAGGAAAGACUAAUAGACAAGUCACGCGUAACCUGUGUCAAAUGGGUUCCUGGUUCGGAAAGCCUUUUCCUAGUAGCCCAUUCAAGUGGGAACAUGUACUUAUAUAAUGUGGAGCACACUUGUGGCACCACAGCCCCCCACUACCAGCUCCUGAAGCAGGGAGAGAGCUUUGCCGUGCACACUUGCAAAAGCAAAUCCACGAGGAACCCUCUCCUUAAGUGGACGGUUGGCGAGGGGGCCCUCAACGAGUUUGCUUUCUCCCCAGAUGGCAAGUUCUUAGCGUGUGUGAGCCAGGACGGGUUUCUGCGCGUGUUCAACUUUGACUCAGUGGAGCUGCACGGUACAAUGAAAAGCUACUUUGGGGGCUUGCUGUGUGUGUGCUGGAGCCCAGAUGGCAAGUACCUUGUGACAGGUGGAGAGGACGACUUGGUGACAGUCUGGUCCUUUCUAGACUGCCGAGUAAUAGCUAGAGGCCAUGGGCACAGGUCCUGGGUCAGUGUUGUAGCAUUUGACCCCUAUACUACUAGCGUAGAGGAAAGUGACCCUAUGGAGUUCAGCGGCAGUGACGAGGACUUCCAGGACCUUCUUCAUUUUGGCAGAGAUCGCGCGAACAGUACACAGUCUAGGCUGUCCAAACGGAACUCUACAGACAGCCGCCCUGUAAGUGUUACGUAUCGGUUUGGUUCCGUGGGCCAGGACACACAGCUGUGUUUAUGGGACCUUACAGAAGACAUCCUUUUCCCCCACCAACCCCUCUCAAGAGCAAGGACACAUACAAAUGUUAUGAAUGCCACAAGUCCGCCUGCCGGAAGCAAUGGGAACAGUGUCACUACGCCUGGAAACUCUGUUCCCCCUCCAUUGCCACGGUCCAAUAGCCUUCCACAUUCAGCAGUCUCCAAUGCUGGUAGCAAAAGCAGCGUCAUGGACGGGGCCAUAGCCUCUGGGGUCAGCAAGUUUGCAACUCUGUCGCUACAUGACCGGAAGGAGAGACACCACGAGAAAGACCAUAAACGAAAUCAUAGUAUGGGACACAUUUCCAGCAAGAGCAGUGACAAACUGAAUCUAGUUACUAAAGCCAAAACGGACCCUGCUAAAACUCUGGGAACAUCCCUGUGUCCGAGGAUGGAAGAUGUUCCCUUGUUAGAGCCGCUGAUCUGUAAAAAGAUAGCUCAUGAAAGACUGACUGUAUUGGUUUUUCUCGAAGACUGUAUAGUCACUGCUUGUCAGGAGGGAUUUAUUUGCACAUGGGCAAGGCCUGGUAAAGUGCCGGCAGAGCAGUUCUGCAGGCAGGAGGACAGAGUGCAAGGUGUUCUCCAAGACCAGAACUAAAGGGAUUGAGCCAAAGGACUCGACGCUUGCAGGCAGACACUGCACUUCUGAGCCACAUCCCAGCCCUCUGCAGAGGCUUAGAAGCUGUGCCCUUCUUUUAAAAGCAAUGCCCAGAGAGGUUGGGCAGCACCCGCAUCCAGGACCUGUGGACUCCAAAUGAACCCACACAGGGGCUUGUUGUCAUCCCCAAACCAAGCCAGUUCUCCAGGUGGGACUAUAGUGUAGCAGCUGCAGUGCUGCUCCCAGACUCCCCCGACACGAGUGGACUGAGGGAGUGACAGACGACACCGGAGCCAGGAGCUGCGCUGGAGCCACAAGCAGGCGGCAGGCAGCCCGGCCUGCAGGGCUGUGUGGAGCUGCUAACCCAAAGAGUUGUUUCCAUUUUUAAGUCAGUCUGCUGGGGCUGCAGUAAAAAAUGAGGAAUGGAGUUUUCUUGCUUUUUACUCUAAAAUUCAAUGUAACUAAAUCCCAUAUAAUAUAUAUAUAUAUACACACACACACACACACAUAUAUACAUAGUGUAAAGUAAAUCGUUUCUUGGACAAGAGACCUUAAUUCAGCUGUUUUAAAUAGCACUUGGCUCUGGUUUUGCACUGAUCUACUUUAUACUUCAGGUGGUCAUUAGCAGCCGGGGACACACUCAUGAAGACGGCUGCCACCUUCUGACCUAAACACGUGAUUCAGAAAGACAGAUGCUGCAAUCAUAGAUUUAAAAAAGUUGUUUGCACUUAAAAUAGUUUAAUGCUAAUAGAAAAUGGCGUUGACUAGGGUAGCGGACGCCCAGCCACCGCAGUGUGGAGUGGAGGCGCCCUUCUUAUCUGUUAACAUUUAUUUUAUACUGUUGUUUCCAAUGCAAUCAGUCUGUAUUAUAUGUGUAAAUAAUGUAAUUCUGAAAUGGGAGAAAUAGUUACUUCACUAGUAAUUUUCAUCAUUUAAGAGUGCUAUUUCUAAUUCACAAAGAUAUUAAUAUUAAAAUUAUCUUGAAUAUA